rnacentral:rRNA from 1 species
CACGCCCUAAACGAUGUCAACUGGUUGUUGGGAGAGUAAUCUCUUAGUAACGAAGCUAACGCGAGAAGUUGACCGCCUGGGGAGUACGGUCGCAAGAUUAAAACUCAAAGGAAUUGACGGGGGCCCGCACAAGCGGUGGAUGAUGUGGAUUAAUUCGAUGCAACGCGAAAAACCUUACCUACCCUUGACAUGUACGGAACUUGCUAGAGAUAGCUUGGUGCUCGAAAGAGAGCCGUAACACAGGUGC